UGAACCUGCGGAAGGAUCAUUGUCGAAACCUGCACAGCAGAACGACCCGCGAACACGUUACAACACCGGGUGAGGGACGAAGGGUGCGCAAGCUCCCCGAGUUACGAGCCCACGGUCGGGGACCGCCCCCGGGUGUUCCUCGUCCGAACAACGACCCCCCGGCGCGGAAUGCGCCAAGGAAAUCAAAACCGAACUGCGCGCGUCCCCCCCCCUCGCGGGCGGCGAAUGCGUCUUUUCUAAAACACAAACGACUCUCGGCAACGGAUAUCUCGGCUCUCGCAUCGAUGAAGAACGUAGCGAAAUGCGAUACUUGGUGUGAAUUGCAGAAUCCCGUGAACCAUCGAGUCUUUGAACGCAAGUUGCGCCCGAAGCCAUUAGGCCGAGGGCACGUCUGCCUGGGCGUCACGCAUCGCGUCGCCCCCCCCCCAGCCCCGCACUCCGUACGGGAGUUAAGGGGGAGGGGCGGAAACUGGCCUCCCGUGUCUCACCGCGCGGUUGGCCUAAAUGUGAGUCCUUGGCGACGGACGUCACGGCAAGUGGUGGUCGUAAAAAGCCCUAUUCUCAUGUCGUGCGAUGAUCCUUCGCCUUAGAAGGCACUCGCGACCCUGUGGAAGCCGUACCAUACGCGUGCUCCGACCGACNCCCCAGGUCAUUU
rnacentral:rRNA from 1 species